AUGUGCAUGUAUGGUCGUCACACGGAAUAUGAGAGGGUCGUGAGCUUCCUGCUACAGGUUGGCCCCCCUGGCACAGCAAAUUUCAGCCUUCUUCCGGUAGUCGAACCCGCAAGGGUUGGAAAGAGCACCCUCGUUGAGCAUGUUUGCUAUGACGACAGGGUGCGCGGCUACUUCUCCUCGAUUGUGUUCCUCGGCGGGGAUGAUCUCCAACUCCAAGGCGCGGAAGCGAAUGCUCUACAAGACAGUGGUGUUAUCAAGUACAGAAACGGCGCUUCACAUGGGAGGCUGCUGGUUGCUGCCGAACUGAUUGGGGAUCUGGAAAAGGAAAUAUGGACAAGGAUGUGGCUUUUGCUAAGCCAUAUGGCGCACGGAAGCAAAGUCGUGGUUACAAGCAGGUCAGAGAGGAUCAUGCGGCUUGGAACAACCCAGGCGCUCAGACUGAAUGCUUUGCCCCACGAAGCUUACUGGUACUUCUUCAAGAUGAUUGCGUUCAGAGAUGCUGGCCCAGAGGACUAUUCAGAGCUAUCAUCCAUAGCUAUGGCGAUUGCAGCUGAGCUCAACACUUCUUUCAUCAAUGCAAACAUAAUCGGCAACCUGUUGAGAGCAAGCCUCAGUGCCCGGUUUUGGUGCAAGGCUCUCGAGCGCAUCAGAGAGUUCACCACCAAGCAUGUGCUCAUGUUUGGCGAGCAUCCAGUCGAUCUGAUGCGGAAAGGGCGGCCUAUAUACCUCUGGAGGAUGGCAGGUGGCGGUUCCGAAGUCCUUGUGGCCAAUGGUGUUCAUCAGGUGUGCUCUCCUCAGCAAGAGGUUCCGAAGCUAACAUUGCUGGAUUUCGUAUCUGGAAGUGCUAUACCGCGUGGAAAUUGUAAGUUCCUGGCGUGGAAGUGA
rnacentral:rRNA from 1 species